CCCCAUUCGCAAUAAUGUUGUCUGUAAGCGUAUGCAAUACAACCAUGCGAACCGCCAGCCAAGGAAAACUCCAAACUCCCGAACGGUAUCCGUACGGCUCCUUCCCUUCACGAGCCACAAGCUCACAAACUGCCAAUAUCAGCCGAACGCCAAUAUCUUCCAAGCGGCAAAUAAUUCCAAAUUGCAGUCUCUAGUCGCCGGUAAUAAAAUCCCCCCAAUGAGACCAAGCUCCGCAUUGAGGGUAAAACACGAACUGAGUUAACUGUGG